AACCCAUGCUGAGGGCAUUUCCGGAGCAUGUUUUUAAAUCUAUUCCAGGCUUCAUCAAAUGAUUCAUUCUCCUUGAUUGAAUACUGAUAUAUCAUGUCUCAGCUU
rnacentral:snoRNA from 1 species